rfam:Sphaerobolus stellatus SS14 unplaced genomic scaffold SPHSTscaffold_62, whole genome shotgun sequence.
ACACGUGUGGUGAAAUGGUAUCAUGCUUGCCUUCCAUGUUCGUUAGCAAGCGGCUCGGGUUCGAUUCCCGGCGCGUGUA